rnacentral:misc_RNA from 1 species
GAUGAAGAACGUAGUGAAAUGCGAUAAGUAAUGUGAAUUGCAGAAUUCCGUGAAUCAUCGAAUCUUUGAACGCACAUUGCGCCCCCUCGCAUUCCGGGGGGCAUGCCUGUCCGAGCGUCAUUUCUGCCCUCAAGCACGGCUUGUGUGUUGGGUGUGGUCCCCCCGGGGACCUGCCCGAAAGGCAGCGGCGACGUCCGUCUGGUCCUCGAGCGUAUGGGGCUUUGUCACUCGCUCGGGAAGGACCUGCGGGGGUUGGUCACCACCAUAUUUUACCACGGUUGACCUCGGAUCAGGUAGGAGUUACCCGCUGAACUUAAGCAUAUCAAUAAGCGGAGGA